rnacentral:rRNA from 1 species
GAUGAACGCUGGCGGCGUGCUUAACACAUGCAAGUCGAACGAUGAAGCCCAGCUUGCUGGGUGGAUUAGUGGCGAACGGGUGAGUAACACGUGAGUAACCUGCCCUUGACUCUGGGAUAAGCGCUGGAAACGGCGUCUAAUACCGGAUACGAGCUUCCACCGCAUGGUGAGUUGCUGGAAAGAAUUUCGGUCAAGGAUGGACUCGCGGCCUAUCAGGUAGUUGGUGAGGUAACGGCUCACCAAGCCGACGACGGGUAGCCGGCCUGGGAGGGUGACCGGCCACACUGGGACUGAGACACGGCCCAGACUCCUACGGGAGGCAGAGGUGGGGAAUAUUGCACAAUGGGCGCAAGCCUGAUGCAGCAACGCCGCGUGGGGGAAGAAGGCCUUCGGGUCGUAAACCUCUUUUAGCAGGGAAGAAGCGAAAGUGACGGUACCUGAAGAAAAAGCACCGGCUAACUACGUG